rnacentral:rRNA from 1 species
GCCUAACACAUGCAAGUCGAACGAGAUCUUUUUUUUGUUUACAAGAAAAAGAUUGCAGUGGCGGACGGGUGAGGAACACGUAAGAACUUACCUUUUGGCGGGGGAUAACAUCGGGAAACUGAUGCUAAUACCCCAUAAUGCUGAGGAGCGAAAGGGAAACUGCCAAAAGAGAGGCUUGCGUCUGAUUAGCUAGUUGGAGGAGGUAAAUGCUCCCCAAGGCGAAGAUCAGUAGCUGGUCUGAGAGGAUGAUCAGCCACACUGGGACUGAGACACGGCCCAGACUCCUACGGGAGGCAGCAGUGGGGAAUUUUCCACAAUGGGCGAAAGCCUGAUGGAGCAAUACCGCGUGAGGGAUGAAGCAUCGUGGUGCGUAAACCUCUUUUCUUAAUGAAGAAGUUCUGACGGUAGUUAAGGAAUAAGCACCGGCUAACUCCGUGCCAGCCGCCGCAGUAACAC